rnacentral:rRNA from 1 species
GGCGGCAGGCCUAACACAUGCAAGUCGAACGGCAGCGGGUCGUAGCAAUACGAUGCCGGCGAGUGGCGGACGGGUGAGGAAUACAUCGGAAUCUACCUUGUCGUGGGGGAUAACGUAGGGAAAUUUACGCUAAUACCGCAUACGAUCUAGGGAUGAAAGCGGGGGACCUUCGGGCCUCGCGCGAUUGGAGCGGCUGAUAUCAGAUUAGGUUGUUGGUGAGGUAAAAGCUCACCAAGCCGACGAUCUGUAGCUGGUUUGAGAGAACGACCAGCCACACUGGGACUGAGACACGGCCCAGACUCCUACGGGAGGCAGCAGUGGGGAAUUUUGGACAAUGGGCGAAAGCCUGAUCCAGCAAUGCCGCGUGCAGGAAGAAGGCCUUCGGGUUGUAAACUGCUUUUGUACGGAACGAAAAGGUCUGCCCUAAUACGGCGGGCCCAUGACGGUACCGUAAGAAUAAGCACCGGCUAACUACGUGCCAGCAGCCGCGGUAAUACGUAGGGUGCGAGCGUUAAUCGGAAUUACUGGGCGUAAAGCGUGCGCAGGCGGUGAUGUAAGACAGUUGUGAAAUCCCCGGGCUCAACCUGGGAAUUGCAUCUGUGACUGCAUCGCUAGAGUACGGUAGAGGGGGAUGGAAUUCCGCGUGUAGCAGUGAAAUGCGUAG